rnacentral:misc_RNA from 1 species
GAUGAAGAACGCAGCGAAAUGCGAUAGGUAAUGUGAAUUGCAGAAUUCAGUGAAUCAUCGAAUCUUUGAACGCACAUUGCGCCCGUCAGUAUUCUGGCGGGCAUGCCUGUUCGAGCGUCAUUACGCCCCUCAAGUCCCCUGUGGACUUGGUGUUGGGGAUCGGCGAGGCUGGUUUUCCAGCACAGCCGUCCCUUAAAUUAAUUGGCGGUCUCGCCGUGGCCCUCCUCUGCGCAGUAGUAAAACACUCGCAACAGGAGCCCGGCGCGGUCCACUGCCGUAAAACCCCCCAACUUUUUAUAGUUGACCUCGAAUCAGGUAGGACUACCCGCUGAACUUAAGCAUAUCAAAAGCGGAGGA